rnacentral:misc_RNA from 1 species
GAUGAAGAACGUAGCAAAAUGCGAUACUUGGUGUGAAUUGCAGAAUCCCGUGAACCAUCGAGUUUUUGAACGCAAGUUGCGCCCGAAGCCUUUUGGCCGAGGGCACGUCUGCCUGGGCGUCACGCAUCGCGUCGCCCCCCACAACUCUCCGUAAAGGGAACUUGUGUUUUGGGGGCGGAUAUUGGUCUCCCGUGCUCAUGGCGUGGUUGGUCGAAAUAGGAGUCCCUCCGGUGGACGCACGAACUAGUGGUGGUCGUAAAAACCCUCGUCUUUUGUUUCGUGCCGUUAGUCGCGAGGGAAACUCUUUAAAAACCCAAAUGUGUCGUCUCUUGACGGCGCUUCGACCGCGACCCCAUGUCAGGCGGGACUACCCGCUGAGUUUAAGCAUAUCAAUAAGCGGAGGA